CAAGAACUGUUUGCAUGAACUUCGAUUUUUCAAGUGGUUUCUUGCCAGGGCAGACCUCUGAGUGUACUGUUUCUAGUUCAAGAUAUGAUAAACCUAUUUUAAGAAGCUCUGUUAUUUGCAGGAACCCUCUUCCUACAAGUUCUGACAUGUCUUCUUGGAGUUUAGAAAGGGAGG